GAGAGAGUCUGAUGGAGAAGGAGCCCAGGAAUGGCAUGUGUGGAAGGCAGAAUGAGGUGUCAUCGAAGUCAAGUGAAGACAACAUGAUAAAGAGGGUGUGACCAGCUGGGACAAAUCCUGCUGCAGGGUUGAGAAAGACAGGGUCUCUCGCUGGUCUGGAGCUGAUGACGAGGCUAGUCUGACUGGCCAGUGAGCCCCCGAGAUCCUCCUCUGUACUCCAGCACUGGGGUUACAGGUGUGUACUGUGAUUGGUAACAAUACUGAGAAAAAUAACUGAUACAGAAAAUCAGUACCAAGAAGUGGAGUUAUUGCUGUGAGAAACCAGACCCUGUGACGUCUCAACCUUGAGAGGAAUGUGGGAGAACCUGGAGAUGUCUGGGAUUCUGGACCUGGAGUUAAGAGAUUGUCUUGAGUCUUCGAGGAGACUUUCAACUUUAGACUUUGGAAUGGUGUUAGAACUAUGAGACUGUGGGGACUUUUGAAAUUGGGCUGGAUGCACUUUGCAUAAUGGGAUGGCCACGAGCCUCUUGGGGCCAGGAGCAGGAUGCUAGAGUUGGAAUAUGAGAUCCCCCUGCAGGCUCAUGCACUUGAAUGUUUCGUCUCUAGCCGAGAGGACUGUUUGGGGAGAUUGUGUAGCUGUGUGUGUAUGACUAGAGGGUUAGAACUGUCGGACAGUCCUGGGCUGUCUGUUCCCCUGAGGGGUGGCAGCCUCACACUGCUGCCAGCCACCCCAGCUCCAUGCCUUUCUCGCCUAACGGACUGAACCUUCUUCCCUUAAGAAUGUCACUGGUCAGACAUUUGGUCACAGCAAGGAGAAACUAACACAUAUGCACAGCGUUACUGCUGGAUAUUGCAGGAAUUGUAUUUAAUGUUUUGUUGUUUUGUUUUGAGAGCCUUCCUAUGUAGCCCUGGCUGUCCUAGAACUCACUGUGUAGUUCAGGCUGACUUCAAACUCACAGCAAUCCUCCUGCCU